GACGAACGCUGGCGGCGUGCCUAAUACAUGCAAGUAGAACGCUGAAGGAGGAGCUUGCUUCUCUGGAUGAGUUGCGAACGGGUGAGUAACGCGUAGGUAACCUGCCUGGUAGCGGGGGAUAACUAUUGGAAACGAUAGCUAAUACCGCAUAAUAGUAGAUGUUGCAUGACAUUUACUUAAAAGGUGCAAUUGCAUCACUACCAGAUGGACCUGCGUUGUAUUAGCUAGUUGGUGGGGUAACGGCUCACCAAGGCGACGAUACAUAGCCGACCUGAGAGGGUGAUCGGCCACACUGGGACUGAGACACGGCCCAGACUCCUACGGGAGGCAGCAGUAGGGAAUCUUCGGCAAUGGACGAAAGGCUGAACGAGCAACGCCGCGGGAGGGAAGAAGGUUUUCGGAUCGUAAAGCUCUGUUGUAAGAGAAGAACGAGUGUGAGAGUGGAAAGUUCACACUGUGACGGUAUCUUACCAGAAAGGGACGGCUAACUACGUG
rnacentral:rRNA from 1 species